GGAGGCUGUCAGGGGGGGGGGGCCAGUCUGAGCUCUGCUUUCUCCAGGUGUUCGGGAUUGGCUGCCUUUGCUCCAACUGUGCACUUCUCUGUGCCUGGACAUCUCCCUGCCCAGACCGAAUCACUAGCAUCUGCUCAGACAAGAUACGCUUCCCAGAACAGCACCAUCGUGACAACAAUUCCAGCAGCAUGAGCUUGUGAGCUGGGAAGAAUCUUUAGGGGUUCUGCCAUCUCAUCACCUUUCAAAAGAUGGGUGGCUGGAUUCUUCUUCCACGCUUCUGCAAACUUGGCACCACUCUCCUGCUGUGAAGUGCAAGGUCUGUUUCGAGUCCCAGACAGGUACUUCUACAAGUACUCCUGCCACCAGGCUCCUUGGAACUCCAUGCCCCUGAGGUCGAAAAUCAAGUCCUAGAGCUUCAAGGGCCAGUAAGGAUUUUGUGUUCCACAUCAAAGAGAAGCUAGGAAGAGACAAUGUUUUUCCACUGUAACUUAUGAAAAUGGAUGGGGAAUUCAAUUUGCCCAUGAGUUGGAAUCUAAAGGAAUU
rnacentral:lncRNA from 1 species